AGUUUGAUCCUGGCUCAGGAUGAACGCUAGCUACAGGCUUAACACAUGCAAGUCGAGGGGCAGCAUGGUCUUAGCUUGCUAAGGCCGAUGGCGACCGGCGCACGGGUGAGUAACACGUAUCCAACCUGCCGUCUACUCUUGGACAGCCUUCUGAAAGGAAGAUUAAUACAAGAUGGCAUCAUGAGUCCGCAUGUUCACAUGAUUAAAGGUAUUCCGGUAGACGAUGGGGAUGCGUUCCAUUAGAUAGUAGGCGGGGUAACGGCCCACCUAGUCUUCGAUGGAUAGGGGUUCUGAGAGGAAGGUCCCCCACAUUGGAACUGAGACACGGUCCAAACUCCUACGGGAGGCAGCAGUGAGGAAUAUUGGUCAAUGGGCGAGAGCCUGAACCAGCCAAGUAGCGUGAAGGAUGACUGCCCUAUGGGUUGUAAACUUCUUUUAUAAAGGAAUAAAGUCGGGUAUGCAUACCCGUUUGCAUGUACUUUAUGAAUAAGGAUCGGCUAACUCCGUGCCAGCAGCCGCGGUAAUACGGAGGAUCCGAGCGUUAUCCGGAUUUAUUGGGUUUAAAGGGAGCGUAGAUGGAUGUUUAAGUCAGUUGUGAAAGUUUGCGGCUCAACCGUAAAAUUGCAGUUGAUACUGGAUAUCUUGAGUGCAGUUGAGGCAGGCGGAAUUCGUGGUGUAGCGGUGAAAUGCUUAGAUAUCACGAAGAACUCCGAUUGCGAAGGCAGCCUGCUAAGCUGCAACUGACAUUGAGGCUCGAAAGUGUGGGUAUCAAACAGGAUUAGAUACCCUGGUAGUCCACACGGUAAACGAUGAAUACUCGCUGUUUGCGAUAUACUGCAAGCGGCCAAGCGAAAGCGUUAAGUAUUCCACCUGGGGAGUACGCCGGCAACGGUGAAACUCAAAGGAAUUGACGGGGGCCCGCACAAGCGGAGGAACAUGUGGUUUAAUUCGAUGAUACGCGAGGAACCUUACCCGGGCUUAAAUUGCAGAUGAAUUACGGUGAAAGCCGUAAGCCGCAAGGCAUCUGUGAAGGUGCUGCAUGGUUGUCGUCAGCUCGUGCCGUGAGGUGUCGGCUUAAGUGCCAUAACGAGCGCAACCCUUGUUGUCAGUUACUAACAGGUUCUGCUGAGGACUCUGACAAGACUGCCAUCGUAAGAUGUGAGGAAGGUGGA
rnacentral:rRNA from 1 species